UGGGGAAUAUUGCACAAUGGGCGCAAGCCUGAUGCAGCCAUGCCGCGUGUGUGAAGAAGGCCUUCGGGUUGUAAAGCACUUUCAGCGGGGAGGAAGGCGGUGAGGUUAAUAACCUCACCGAUUGACGUUACCCGCAGAAGGAGCACCGGCUAACUCCGUGCCAGCAGCCGCGGUAAUACGGAGGGUGCAAGCGUUAAUCGGAAUUACUGGGCGUAAAGCGCACGCAGGCGGUCUGUCAAGUCGGAUGUGAAAUCCCCGGGCUCAACCUGGGAACUGCCUUCGAAACUGGCAGGCUAGAGUCUUGUAGAGGGGGGUAGAAUUCCAGGUGUAGCGGUGAAAUGCGUAGAGAUCUGGAGGAAUACCGGUGGCGAAGGCGGCCCCCUGGACAAAGACUGACGCUCAGGUGCGAAAGCGUGGGGAGCAAACAGG
rnacentral:rRNA from 1 species